UGAUGUGUCCACUCACCUAAAGGAGGACAUGGCAGCUAUUCAAAGCCCUCCUGACCCUGGAGCACUGCCUCUAAGCUCGCCAUGUAUCCGUGACUCUGACCACAAACUGACCAAGGAGAAAAAAGAGGACGCCAAUGAGUCCUCCCUUGCCACAGAGAUCACUGUAGGCACAUCCAUUGUCCAGGGAGAGGACCUGUUGGGUGAUAAAAGCCCUGCUCCAAGGCUGCCUCCAAGCUUGUCACACAUUUUGGACAAUGACCAUAAGCAGCCAGAGGAGACGAUAGUUGCGCGGGAAGCAGCUGUUUCCGUGUCCACUGUCCUCCAAGAGGAGUUUUUGGCUGGUAAAAGUCCUCCUGCACCCGCAGCACUGCCUCUAAGGCUGCCCUGUACCCACAGCAUUGACCACAAACAGCUAUGGGAGACAGUUGAGGACAACACAGAGCGCUUAGUUGACACAGAGGAAAGUGCAGUUUCAUCCACUGUCAAGAGAGAGGAACUGAUAGGUGAUACAAACCCUGUCCUAGCACUUCCUCCAAGCCUGGCAUGCAUCCAUGACAAAGACCACAAUGAUCCAAAUCAGAAAGGGAGGGGCACUACUAAGGAGGUGUAUCUCUGCCCUCACGCUCACCAGCUGGACCCAGAUGCUAACUUAACUCUGUCAACCCACAAUGAUGAACCCAGGACCUGGAC
rnacentral:lncRNA from 1 species